UUGGAGGGCAAGUCUGGUGCCAGCAGCCGCGGUAAUUCCAGCUCCAAUAGCGUAUAUUAAAGUUGUUGCAGUUAAAAAGCUCGUAGUUGAAUUUCGGGAUCAUCAGGUUGGUCGUGCCUCCGGUAUGUACUUUCCUCGAUGGUUCCUCCUUCUUGAAGAACCGUAAUGCCAUUAAUUUGGUGUUGCGGGGAAUCAGGACUGUUACUUUGAAAAAAUUAGAGUGUUUAAAGCAGGCUAACGCUUGAAUACAUUAGCAUGGAAUAAUGAAAUAGGACGAUCGAUCCUAUUUUGUUGGUUUCUAGGAUUGACGUAAUGAUUAAUAGGGAUAGUUGGGGGCAUUAGUAUUCAAUUGUCAGAGGUGAAAUUCUUGGAUUUAUUGAAGACUAACUACUGCGAAAGCAUUUGCCAAGGAUGUUUUCAUUAAUCAAGAACGAAAGUUAGGGGAUCGAAGACGAUCAGAUACCGUCGUAGUCUUAACCAUAAACUAUGCCGACUAGGGAUCGGAUGAUGUUAAUUUUUUAAUGACUCAUUCGGCGCCUUACGGGAAA
rnacentral:rRNA from 1 species